rnacentral:rRNA from 1 species
UACGAAGGGGGGCUAGCGUUGCUCGGAAUCACUGGGCGUAAAGGGUGCGUAGGCGGGUCUUUUAAGUCAGAGGUGAAAUCCUGGAGCUCAACUCCAGAACUGCCUUUGAUACUGAGGAUCUUGAGUUCGGGAGAGGUGAGUGGAACUGCGAGUGUAGAGGUGAAAUUCGUAGAUAUUCGCAAGAACACCAGUGGCGAAGGCGGCUCACUGGCCCGAGUACUGACGCUGAGGCACGAAAGCGUGGGGAGCAAACAGGG